ensembl:lncRNA GRASLND glycosaminoglycan regulatory associated long non-coding RNA
GGGACUACAGGCGCCCGCCACUGCGCCCGGCUAAUUUUUUGUAUUUUUAGUAGAGAGGGGGUUUCACCGUGGUCUCGAUCUCCUGACCUCGUGAUCCGCCCGCCUCAGCCUCCCAAAGUGCUGGGAUUACAGGCGUGAGCCACCGCGCCCGGCCAGUUCAAUGGAUUUUAAAAAUUAUUAUUCUCUAGAAAAAAGACCACGAACUUUGGAGUGGACAUCCUGAGACCUGCCUACGAAGACCAUUAGGGUAAAGAAGUCACCCCUUCACCCCAGGACCAGGAAGCCUCCAGGAUGGCAUAAGCGACCAAACAGCUGGGAGCCAAGCACAGUGCAGGGGGCUUGGGGUCGGCGGCCGGAGGCUGGGUGGCCUCCAGAAGACACUCCCCUGAUUCCUACACCGAGGGAACACACAGCAGCAAGCUAGGAAAGAAGGGGUGACCCAGCCCAACGCUGUAAACCAGGGCGCGAACCGGCGUUGAGCUGUGCAGCUGCGCCCUGGGCUCCAGUCCUGCUCUGCCGCAGACCCCACCGGAGCCAGCACCUGCCUCCCCGACCCUCGCUGGGGCGGCUGUGAGAUGAGCCCAGAGCCUUCCUGAGCCAACCCUCGCAAGGAAAGUCUGUCUGUUCACCCCACUAUCCUUGUCUUGAAGGAUGAAGAAAAGAGGGCCCCCCGGGAGGUCCCAAAAGGUGGAAUGGACAUCUGGGAUCCAAGCACAGCAAUUUCUUUAUUUUUCUUAAGGUAUCCAGCUUGUUGGAAUCUAAGAUCUGCGAAGCCUCUCACUAGAGGAUGAAAAUCGUUCUGCAUAAAGGCCUGGGCUUUAUGAAAAAUAUAUUCACACCUCCCGUGUCCGAGCUGGGAUACCAAAGAAGUUCCUGGUUGAGUACUACUUAUGAAUGAAGGAUUCAGGGGAUGCACAGGACACAGAGGAAUCUGGGGGAUAUUAUGGUUCUGGGAAUGUGGAAUGUAACGUCUCAUCUUCAGCCCAUCUGUGCUACUGAUCAUCUCAUUCCAGAAGCCAUGCCUUCUCUCAGGAGCAGACAGCACAAGACUUUCCUGCCAGAGGCACAGUCCCCAGGUGAGCCACACAGCCUUCACAGGGUAAUGCCAAAGAACAGAGGAGAGUUCCUGCUACUCUCCGGGUCUUCUUGGCAAAGCUUCUGAUACAGUCUGGCUGUCUCUCCACCUGAAUCUCAUCUUGAAUUGUAGCUCCCAUAAUUCUCGUAUGUCAUGGGAGGGAUCAGGUGAGAGGUAACUGAAUCAUGGGGGUGGGUCUUUCCUGUGCCGUUCUCGUGACAGUGAAUAAGUUUUAUGAGAUCUGAUGGUUUUAUAAAGGGGAGUUCCCCUGCAAAUGUUCUUGCCUGCUGUGACUUUGCUCCUCCUUGCCUUCCGCCGUGAUUGUGAGGCCUCCCCAGUUAUGUGGAACUGUGAGUCCAUUAAACCUCUUUUUCUUUAUAAAUUACCUAGUCUCAGGCAUGUCUCUAUUGGCAGUGUGGGAACAGACAGACUAAUACAGCUUCCCUUGUCUGUACUCUUACCCUUCUCCCUUCAAAAGCAUCCUCUCUUUCUUUUCCAACCUUUCCAACCUCUCGAAUAAUCUCUGCAGUGGGAGUAGCAUCCACAUAAGACAGGAUGCAGAGAUGUCUUCAAGCAGCUUCAAACAAAACUUCAAGAAAGAAAGUGCAAGUGAAAAAGGAAAUUCAUCCUUCCAGUCACUUAACACAGCACUGUCACGGACACCUUGUGCCUCCUUAAAAUUCGUAUACUGAAGUUCUAAGCCCCAGUACCCCAGAAUGUGACCUUCUUUGGAAAUAGGGUCAUUGCAGAUAUGAUUAGUUAAGAGGAGAUCAUACUGGAGUGGGCUUUAAUCCAAUAUGACUGGUGUCCUUAUGUAAAGGGGAAAUUUGGACACAGACACACACAAGGAGAACACCAUGUGAACUGAAGUCAAAGAUUUGGGUGAUGCUUCUACAAGCCAAGAAAUGCCAAAGAUGACCAGCAAAGCACCGGCAGCUGGUGGAGGAGCCUGGACCAGAUUCUUCCUCACAGCCCUCAAAAGGAACCAAUCUUGCCAAAGCUUUGACUUAGACUUCUAGCCCCCUGUGAUGGUUAAUGUUAAGUGGCAGCUUGACUGGGUUAAGGGAUGCCCAGAUAGCUGGUAAGACAGUAUGUCUGUGUGCAUCUCUCAGAGUGUUUCUGGACAAGAUCAGCAUUUGAAUCCUUAGAGUAAAGAAGAUCUGCCCUCACCCACGUGCAUCACCCUAUCUCUGGAGAGCGCGAACAAACAGGAGGAAGGGCACAUAUGCUCCUUCUGUUCCAGCUGGCACAUCCAUCUUCUCCUGCCCCCUGACUUCAGAGCUCCUGGUUCUCGGGCCUCAGGAUUCCAGCACUUACAUGAGAGCGUGCUUCCCCCUCCCUACUCCACCCCUAGGUUCUCCGCCCUUUGGCCUCUGACUGAAUUCCACCACCAGCUUUUCAGGGUCUCCAGCUUGCAGACGGCAGAUCGUGGGACUUCUUGGCCUCCAUAAUUAUGUAAGCCAAUUCCCAUAAUAAAUCUCCUAUCUAUCUAUCUAUCUAUCCAUCUAUCAAUCAUCUAUCUAGUCUAUCUAUCUAUCUAUCUCUAUCCUAUUGAUUCUGUGUCUCUGAGGAACCCUAAUACACCUCCAGAACUGUGAGAUGAUACAUUUCUGUGGUUUAAGCCACUCAGAAGGUGGUACUUUGUUUCACCAGGCCUAGCAAACUAAUACAAGUGCAUGGAAGGUGACUACUCAUGACUGCAACUUAGAGAACAAGGGUUAUAAUAAAAAUAAAAGUGUUAUACAAAGGUGGCAAGAUAAAUGACAAUAAAUGAAAAUAUUAACAUGUGAAUUAAAAAGUAAAGAUAUUUUUCCUAGCAUUCUCCCAGAAAGUAGAGACGCGUCUCUCUUGUUUGCCAUCAUAUCCAGCAAUGGCAAGAUAAGUUCUAGGC